rnacentral:lncRNA from 1 species
UGAUUCUCUCUCAUCAUUUCAAGCCUUACAGGUAGAAGAGGAUCCGUAAUAGAAUUGGGAAAGAAAGAGGAGACAAGUUUUCUUUUCCAGCCCAUGGAAAAAUAACUUUCUGGAUUAUCAUCUGGAAACUGGGAAGUACCAACAUGAGCAACGAUGAGAGGCCAGUGAACCCUGCCUCACCUCCGCUGACUGAGUGCCUGAAGAGAAAGAGGGGAAGACCAAAGAAGCAGCCACAGGAGGCUGUGGGGCCACUGCCAGUGAAGAAACCACGAGGAAGGCCGAAAGGAAGCAAGAAAGCGAAUGCUGUAUCUCAAAUGUUAGAACCUUCUGCUGAGAAAAGGCCAAGAGGGAGGCCCCGCAAGUGGCCUCAACUAGUGAUCCAAGAGAGAGUGUGUCAGGAAGGAGCUCCUCAGGGAAGCAGCGACUCGAAUUUGACCGCACCGCCUGCUACRCAAGGCAUCACUGGAAAAGACGGUUCCAGGCCCAGCAAAACUACUGGUCUUAGGAGAUCUCUGAGUAACAUUCCUGCCGCAACUCAGUAAUAUGCUACCUGCUCAUGUCUUGCUGAAGCCGGAGGACUGGAAAACAAGCAAUGUUCUUAAUUUCAUACUUCAGAGUCUUCCUUUAUAAUUUUGGCCAAACUUUCUCUCCUGUUUUCUGCUGGAUUACCCUAAACAUCUAAGUAAAGGCUUGGGGGGAAAAUGGCAAAUGCUUUAUCAGGGAGAUGCCUUUCAUAGUUUCUAGCAGAUCUUUCAUGAGGACAUUACUCUUUCUUAAAAGUCUUAUUUAUAACAUGAUGCCUUGUGCUGCCGUGGACAGCAGUAGUUCCACAGAAAGAUAGUGUUGACUCAGGAAUGCAGGUACAAUAAAGGAAACCUGUUUACGCA